ACCCAAUCGCAAAGUCGGCCCAGUGCUCUAAAAACCCAAAACCCUCCUUCCUGCACCAAGACUUAAGCCACGCAUUGACCUCUCUAAUCUCCCGCUGCCUUUCCACUGCAGCGCGUGGCACAGGUAAUAUCUCAGAGAAUACCACCUUGGAGGUCCUUUAAUUAAGUUUGCUACGUUCCUCUUACUUUGUCAUUGGUACCAACAUGGACCAUGACUGCUCGGUCAUCCCCAGC